AGAUUGUGUGUGUGUACUAUAUAUUGUAUAGAAUGGAUAGAUUGUGUGUGUGUGUGUAUACUAUAUAUUGUAUAGAAUGGAUUGUGUGUGUGUGUACUAUAUAUUGUAUAGAAUGGAUAGAUUGUGUGUGUGUAUACUAUAUAGUGUAUAGAAUGGAUAGAUUGUGUGUGUGUGUAUACUAUAUAGUGUAUAGAAUGGAUAGAUUGUGUGUGUGUGUAUACUAUAUAUUGUAUAGA